rnacentral:rRNA from 1 species
UUUUGGACAAUGGGCGAAAGCCUGAUCCAGCAAUGCCGCGUGUGGGAAGAAGGCCUUCGGGUUGUAAACCACUUUUGUACGGAACGAAAAGGUCUGCCCUAAUACGGUGGGCCCAUGACGGUACCGUAAGAAUAAGCACCGGCUAACUACGUGCCAGCAGCCGCGGUAAUACGUAGGGUGCGAGCGUUAAUCGGAAUUACUGGGCGUAAAGCGUGCGCAGGCGGUUAUAUAAGACAGUUGUGAAAUCCCCGGGCUCAACCUCGGAAUUGCAUCUGUGACUGUAUAGCUAGAGUACGGUAGAGGGGGAUGGAAUUCCGCGUGUAGCAGUGAAAUGCGUAGAUAUGCGGAGGAACACCGAUGGCGAAGGCAAUCCCCGGACCUGUACUGACGCUCAUGCACGAAA